rnacentral:rRNA from 1 species
CUUAUCUCGCCGCCCGUCGCGAGGCGGACGGAGGGAUGGAUGAGGUUACCUGGAAAAAAUCGGGGCGAUCUAGGCGGGCGAACCUCGCCAACGAACGAUCGGACAUGGGAUAACGGAAGAGGGCGUCGGCUCGACUUCGUCGGUUCCUCGGGCCGAGGCACGUACGGUGAAUAGGGACGGUCGGGGCCGCCCGUACCGGGUCGUGAGAGGUGAAAUUCUAGGAUCGACCCGAGACGAACUGCCGCGAAAGCAUUCGGCAAGGACGCUUUCAUUAAUCAAGAACGAAAGUCGGGGGAUCGAAGACGAUCAGAUACCGUCGUAGUCCCGACCGUAAACGAUGCCGACCGAGGGCCCGGAGGAGUUACGUACGACCCUCCGGGCCCUCCCGCGAGAAAUCAGGAGUAUUCGGGUUCCGGGG